UGUGCAGCCGUAAUUGUUGACUUUUGGUGAAUAGUGUUAAUUUUUUAACUUUUUGAGUAACUUUUUGACUUUUUAGCUUAUUUGGGACUUCCCAAACUUAGCCUAAAUCUUUCAAAAACAAUUGUAAUAAGAUUUAAAACUGCUCAUGAAGGUUUAAAAUUGCCCAAAUCGGAACUCUUUAAUUGUUAGAUUAGAGGAGAACAUGCCACUAGGUCAAAGGACUAUCGGCGUGUGAUAUGAUAUGUGAUAGGACGUAUUAGGGUUGUAAAGUGAUUGAAAUAAUUUUUACAGUAUUUAAAAUUGAAGUUUAGAAUUUCAAAAAAUAAGUUUCAUAGCUUGAAACCGAAACCAGACCAAUUUAUGGGUUAAUUUUCUAAUUUUGUGAUUUUAUAACACUAUCAACCAAGUUCCCUUUUUACCAUUUUUUUUUUUUUACUUUUAAUGAAAGUUUUAAUUUUGGGUGCUAAUUAAUUUUCCAAUUUUGGGACUUUAUAUCACUAGCAACCAAGUCCUGUUUUUACCAUUUUUUUAAUUUUAAUGAAAAUAUCAUAAUACAAUUUUUUUGCUUGUGGAUGUUUGAUAACCUAAUUAAUUUCUUUUUCACCAUUGUUGUUGCAAAACUCAUGCAAGGUAGAAAUUGCUAGAAUAUCUGACCACCCAAGAGCAAAAAUACAGUCUUAUGCAUGUUCUAGGGUGGUUCACUGUCCACUUGACCAAUCACAUGAAUGGCAAUCACGUAAUUCAAUAUUGUUUGACAAUCUUCUCUGACGAGGAUAAUAUGCAUAUUCUACAUGAAUUAGCAGAUAACUAUCUAGACAGCCACAGAAAAAUCAAGGUGUUGUGUGUUGCAACACUGUAUCGCACAUUCUCGGGGAGAGCAUGUCAAUCGUCUCGUUGCUAAAAUUGUUGCCAAUGCACUUGUCCUCUCUGAAAGUCGUUAUGGGAACUAUGUUGUGCAGUUUAUACUAGCAAUGAAGGAACCAUAUGUACAACAUGCCAAAAUAGUCAAAUUUGCACAACUUGGGGGGAACUAUGUCAGCCUUUCCUUUAAUAAAUACAGCUGCAAUGUGGUAGAGAAGUGUUUGAAAGAGGCUGGAGAAGAUCAAGCCGCGCAAAUCAUCAAGGAGAUCAUUAACAGUCCCAAUUUCUUGAUGCUUGUUCAAGAUCCUUAUGGGAACUAUGUCGCUCAAUCUGCUGUGAUGGUAUCAAAGGGAUGUGUUCGCCAAACAAUCCUUACCCUGAUUCAGAAGCAUUACCCCUUCUUACACAGCCACCCCUACGAAAAGAGGGUACUGGCGAUGACUCGAGGCAUCAAGCAACAGCAUGUCUUUACAUCUAAAAGGUAGACAUAACAUAAUGUGCAUAUGAUCUUCUCUAAUUUAGGCUUUUGUUGUGUAGCAAAUUGUAAGAAAUAAGGGAGGGUAUUUGUUUGUUUGGAUUGUAUUAUCCUGCAGUGUCUUUCCCUCCCUCUGUUGCUUGUUAUACAUUGCUUGUUAUACAUUAU